GUGGGGAAUAUUGCACAAUGGGGGAAACCCUGAUGCAGCGACGCCGCGUGAGUGAAGAAGUAAUUCGUUACGUAAAGCUCUAUCAGCAGGGAAGAAAAUGACGGUACCUGAGUAAGAAGCCCCGGCUAACUACGUGCCAGCAGCCGCGGUAAUACGUAGGGGGCAAGCGUUAUCCGGAUUUACUGGGUGUAAAGGGAGCGUAGACGGUGCGCCAAGUCUGGAGUGAAAUGCCGCAGCUUAACUGCGGAACUGCUUUGGAAACUGGCGAACUAGAGUGCGGGAGGGGUAAGCGGAAUUCCUAGUGUAGCGGUGAAAUGCGUAGAUAUUAGGAGGAACACCGGUGGCGAAGGCGGCUUACUGGACCGUAACUGACGUUGAGGCUCGAAAGCGUGGGGAGCAAACAGGAUUAGAAACCCUUGUAGUCC
rnacentral:rRNA from 1 species